GAUGAACGCUGGCGGUAUGCCUAACACAUGCAAGUCGUACGAGGGUUUUUAACUCUAGUGGCGGACGGGUGAGUAACACGUGAGAAUUUGCCUUUAGGAGGGGGAUAACAAUCGGAAACGAAUGCUAAUACCCCAUAUGCCUUUUGAGUGAAAUGGAUUUAUCCGCCUAAAGAGAAGCUCGCGGCUGAUUAGCUUGUGGUAAGGUAAGAGCUUACCAAGGCGACGAUCAGUAUCUGGUUUGAGAGGACGAUCAGACACACUGGAACUGAGACACGGUCCAGACUCCUACGGGAGGCAGCAGUGGGGAAUUUUCCGCAAUGGGCGAAAGCCUGACGGAGCAAUACCGCGUGAGGGAAGACUGCCUAUGGGUUGUAAA
rnacentral:rRNA from 1 species